UAGGUGAGGAUGAAGCAGUAAUAGUAUAAUCCAACACUUGAUCUGAGAUAUUCAUUAUCAAAUGAACGCUAUUAUUACCUUCUGAAUCUGC